AGUGGCUGUGUGUUAAGUAGCUUGCUUACCAACCACAUGGUUCCGGGUUCAGUCCCACUGCGUGGCACAUUGGGCAAGUGUCUUCUACUAUAGCCUCGGGCCGACCAAAGCCUUGUGAGUGGAUUUGGUAGACGGAAACUGAAAGAAGCCCGUCGUAUAUAUGUGUAUAUAUUUGUAUGUGUGUGUGUAUAUGUUUGUGUAUCUGUGUUUGUCCCCCCCAACAUCGGUUGACAACCGAUGCUGGUGUGUUUACGUCCCCGUAACUUAGCGGUUCGGCAAAAGAGACCGAUAGAAUAAGUACUAGGCUUUCAAAGAAUAAGUCCUGGGGUCGAUUUGCUCGACUAAAGGCUAUGAUAAUACUGUUAGCCAAGAUUGUUCAAUGUGUGCGCAGGACGACGAACCAUUCUGCAUACCUUCAUUUAGUGUCUGAGGAUUGCUGUUUUAUGAAAUGAUGUCAAACAACUGAUGUCAUGUGCAUUAAAUCCUUUAGGAGGAUCACCUCAUCUCUAUUUGUUGUAAAGCCACCCUUUGGCCAUGUAGGGGCAGGUAUCUUUUUGGAGGUCGCAAUGAUAGACAAGGUUAAAUGUACUGAUAAUUGACACUCGACUAAACACACUUUAAGUUCUUCACUACCACUUUGAGAGAAUAGUGAAAAUUGAGAAGGUUUUUACUCUUCAAUGUGUUUACUACAGGGUAGGGGAGGUCUGUGUGAAUAGGCCUACCCUCAGUAUGUCGGUCCGGUGUUGUGUCGAACCGUGCCUGUAGAGCUUAUCCCUGACGGGUAAUGCUUCUCGACAGCACUGCCAGGCCAGGGAUCUCUGGUGAUUAUCCAUAAGUCCCGGCCAGAUAGAUAGAUAGAUAGAUAUAUAUAUAUAUAUAUAUAUAUAUAUAUAUAUAUAUAUAUAUAUAGAUAGAUAGAUAGAUAGAUAGAUAGCUGAAAUAGAGAACAUCAGUCUAAGGUAGUCAGGAUAAUCUUGUAACUGUAAGGUUCAACAACCGCCUGCAGAUUGUUGUGCUUAAUCUCCUGGUAUCUCAUUUCAUCUUGUUAGUAUUUUUGUAUUUUUGCAGUUUGAAAUUAUUGAUACUGAGUAUUUCUUCCGAUUCUUUGAGACCGCCGAGGGCAAAUUUGCCUUUCAUCCAUUUGGCAUCGAUGAAACAAGUACUAGUCAAGUGCUGGGGCCGAUGUAAUCAAGUAACUCCCUCACCCUAAUAUUGCUGGCAUUGGACCAAAGUAUGAAACCCUGAUUAGAAUUGGCAGAAUCUUCGGAGCGUCGAACAAAAUUGCCUUGAAGUAUUGAUUCCGGCACCUUCCGUUUUGAGUUCAAAUUCUGCCGAGAUCAACAUAGCUUUUCACCGCUCUCCAAAGCCAACGAAAUAAAAUCAGUUUUGGGGAAGAUGUAAUAUCAUAUCUACUUCACUCAAAAUUUCUCGGAUUGCGCCUAAAUUAGAAACAAUAAUUCUGGAGGACAAACGAUUGGUGGAUCACUGGAAAAUAUAUUUGAUGUAAUUAGGUGUUGUUUACGUUUUUGGAUUUAAAUUUCUCCGCAGCUGACCCGUUUCUUAAUUACUCCUAGGACGGUACCAUAACUGUUAGGAGUUGAUUUUUUUUUUGUCCUGUUUUUAAACCCUGUCAGCUUUUGUCGAGCAAAGGCGCUGUAGUUGUAAACAUCCAAUCGCUUAUAUAUAUAUAUAUAUAUAUAUAUAUAUAUACAUAUAUAUAUAUUUGAAUUCCGCUACUAUUUUUAGCUAAGUAGUGAAGACGCCAUUCAUUGGCUUAAAUAAGUAUGAAUCUAACACAAAAGUCUUUCUUUCUUUCUUUCUUUCUUUCUUUCUUUCUCUCUCUCUCUCUCUCUCUCUCUCUCUCUCUUUAUAUAUAUAUAUAUAUAACAUCGAGAAUACAUUAUUUAUAUACUGAAAGAACCAUGUAUAUAUAUAUGUAUAUAUAUAUCUGUGUGUGUGUGUGUGUGUUUGUGCGUGUGUGUAUGUAUGUAUGUAUGUAUGUAUGUAUAUAUAAGUUUACCAGUUUGUGCUAUUUUUACCAUUUGUUUUGUAGCUAAAUUUUAGAUUGAAUUAAAUGAAAUUAAAUGUCCUUGUCCUGCAUUGCCUAAUUGUUUGGCUUUCCUCACUACUUUAACACACACACACACAUACAUAUAUAUAUAUAUACACACACAUAUAUAUAAUAUAUAUACACAUAUACAUAUAUACACAUAUACACACACACAUUUACAUAUAUAUAUACAUAUAUACACAUAUACAUAUAUAUAUAUGUAUACACGCACACACACAUACAUAUAUAUAGAGAGAGAAACUUGACAUACUCUACCCAUAUAUGCAUAUAUAUAUAUAGAUAUAUGUGUGUGUGUAUAUAUAUAUAUACAUAUAUUAUGUAUAUAUAUAUAUAUAUAUAUAUAUAGAGUUAUGUAUAUAUAUAUAUACUCUUGGUUAAAUUAAUUAUUAUUAAAUUAAUAUAUAUAUAUAUAUAUAUAUAAAUGUAUAUAUAUAUUUACUCAUAUAUAUAUAUAUAUAUAUAUAUAUAUAUAUAUAUAUAUAUAUAUAUAUACCUAUAUAUUUAUACCUAUACACACAUAUAUAUACACACAUAAAUAUAUACAUAAAUAUAUAUGUGCGUGUGUGUGUGUGUGUGAAUCUUUCAUUAUGUAAUCAAUAUCAUAUACUCGAUGUUUCAUAAAUGAUUUAUUACUGAUAUAUUACUGAAACAGUUGUUAGUGUGGAAUAAAUAUGAUUACUAUUGCUCCAUUCUUCUUUUGUUAUUUCAUCCUCCACAACUGAAAGAAGCUUCCUGAAUUUCCAGUUUGUCUGAAGUGAAUAUCUCUACAGAACUUAUUGUUCCUUUCUCUACGUUCUGUUAGCUGCAAUUCACAGAGGUACUGAGAUAACCUCUUGGAUUCCCGAAUCCCCUUUCAUUUGUUCUCUCUCCUUCUCUUUGUCUCUCUCUCCUUCUCUCUGUCCCUCUGUGUAUAUAUAUAUUUGUGUGUGUGGACAUAUAUACAUACAUACAUACGUGUAUGAAUUAGUUCUUGAGUCUGGAGAAAUAAGGCAGUGCCAUAUCCUGCAAUGUCACUCCCAAACCGGAGAGAUUGAUGACUUAAACUUUGUGCUAAAGUAUUGCAAGUCUACACAUCUGCAAAAAAAGAUAUGAGCGAGGAGCAAAUUCUAAGGGAACCGAAAGUUCUGUCGAGGAAGGACUGAUUCUGGCAAAUGGUUAAUGCAAGGUCUGAGUUGGUGGUUCAUCAUAACACAGGAAAUGAGAGCAAAGAAGACGAAUAAAUCAGGAGUGCUUGAAUUGAAGUGGCACAAGCCCAGCCAGCUCUGAAGGAGGGAGAACUUAGCAAACAUAGCAUACUGUCUCCUCUCUCUGUAGCAAAGACAGAGAGAGAGAAGACAGUAUGAGUAUGCUCCGGAGGCUGAUGAGUGUCUGUGACUGAUAUGCCAAUCAGCCGGGUAGCUUUUGUCUUAAAGCGGCCUAGGAUAUAGUAGUAGAAGCCGCAGUGGCGAUAGUAGAAGCAACAGCAGCUGCAAGUAGAGGCGCAAUGACCUAGUGGUUAGGGCAGCGGACUCGCGGUCGUAAGAACGCGGUUUCAAUUCCCAGAGCGGGCAUUGUGAGUGUUUAUUGAGCAAAAACACCUAAGUUCCACGUGGCUCGAGCGGUGGGGUGGGGGUGAACCCCGCUGUACUCUUUCCAACCCCGCUGUACUCUUUCCCAACAACCUUCUCCUACUCUUUCUUCCUACUUCUGUCACAGAGCAGAGGAACCAUCGUGUAACCCACUAUGGUGUGGUAAACUGUCAGACCCUAGUCUAGAUUGCGAAUCCUCUGUACCCCAGGAUGGUUCAGCUCUCCACCCGUUAAAAGCCACCGUUUACGGAAUGAGGAUAACAACGUAGCUUUCGCGCCCGUGCAACCGCCAGUAUAUCGCAUGUGGUGGGUGGAUCUUCAAGUUGCCACACGCAUUCUUAGUAGCUUAGAGUAGGCUCGAAUUAGAGAGUAUUCUUUGUGGCUAAUGGCGUGAGUCCUGAUUGGAAGAAGGAGAAGAAGAAGACAGCAGCUGUAGUUCUAGCAGCGCCGUCCAAGGUGCAGUAGCAAAUGGCCAUUAAGUAUUUGUUUGACUUAACUAAUGCAGGAGCUUAAUUUAUUCGUGACGAAAAUACCAGUCUAAAACAGGUCGAAUUAAUUGAUAUGGACUUGAUUGGAGGGUUGUAGCUUAGCUUUUACGUUUGACAUCAUUAUUAUUAAUUAAAAGAAAAAGCAGUUAGCUGGAAGACUCAUUAGAGCAGCGGAAAAGUACUUUGUAAUGUCUAUUCCAGUUGUUUACAUCAUGUCUUCAAUCCGGCUGAGAUUGACUUUGCCUUCCAACGUUUUAGAAUCCAUAAAUUAAAGUACCAGUCAAAUAGAAUUGUUGGCAUCCCUUCAAAAUGGCUAGCCUUGUGCCUAAAUUAGAAAUAAACUUUUAAAUUGAACUGGCAUAAUGGGAACAUUAGAGUGACCGACAAAAUAGUUUGCAGCACUUAGUUAUCAACGUUUACCUUCUUAAUUCCUAUUUUGUUGUUGAUAUUGUCGUUUGUUCCUUCUCGAGCCACGCCUAACUCAUAGGGCCGGUUUUCCGGUUUCCUUGGCGUAUAGGUUCCCCACAUGGACUGGACGCCAGUCCGUCGCAGGUGAGCUGCAAGAUGCAGGAGGACAGAGUGAGAGAAAGUUGUGGCGAAAGAGUCAGCAGAAGUUCGCCCUUACCUUCUGCUGGAUCCGCGUGGAGCUCGCUCAUAAACACACACAUCGCCUGGUCUGAGAACGCGAGUCCGCUGCUCUAACCACUACGCCAUGUGCCUCCACAAAUUACUAUUUUAACAAAGUCGUUUUUAUUUUUUUUAAAUAAAAGAAUUAAUAGUACAAUUCCACACAGGGACCUCUACUUUGUCGAUGGAUCUAGAGACAAACCCAUCAGAUCAGUAUCCACCUUUGAUAAUGUAGUCCUGCAUAAC
rnacentral:lncRNA from 1 species